GAUGAAGAACGUAGCGAAAUGCGAUAAGUAUGUGAAUUGCAGAAUUCAGUGAAUCAUCGAGUCUUUGAACGCACAUUGCUCCCGCCAGUAUUCUGGCGGGCAUGCCUGUCCGAGCGUCAUUUCAACCCACGAACCCCUCCGGGGGGUCGGCGUUGGGGAUCGGCCCUUUACGGGGCCGGCCCCGAAAUACAGUGGCGGUCUCGCCGCAGCCUCUCCUGCGCAGUAGUUUGCACACUCGCAUCGGGAGCGCGGCGCGUCCACAGCCGUUAAACACCCCAAACUUCUGAAAUGUUGACCUCGGAUCAGGUAGGAAUACCCGCUGAACUUAAGCAUAUCAAUAAGCGGAGGA
rnacentral:misc_RNA from 1 species